GAUCUGCUUCUGUUUUGAACACCG
rnacentral:siRNA from 1 species